ACCAGAAUGGUUCUAUUGGUCCCUCAAACUAUAUAAACAGCAGUUAUUCGAAUGUGGCUGACGGCAUGUACCCUCUGCCAGUUUAUCCCAAUGGCCUGUAUCCAUCUGGUGUAGACGAGGCAUCACAUGUUGAUGAAAGUUCACCAGGGAGUGUCAAUGAACAAGGAUGUUACCAAGGAGAUUCUGGACAUUCUUCCCCAGAUCUAUCCUCCUCACCCAAGCUCCCAAGUGUGGGUUGAGUGUUCUGCUGCAUUAUCGGGCGAGUAAGACACACAAGAUGUCAGUAACCUUGCGAGUAAAUCCUCCCAACUUGCUUUCUUUAGGAAGAAUUUUUGAUCUUCUGCGGGGAUGCUCUUUUCAUCCCCUUCGAUACACAGGUAAAAGGGUCAUCUUACUCCACAGUCAUGGCUCAUGAAUGUACAUUAAAAAUAUGAUGUCUCUUUUUGUGAACUAUAUAGAAAAAUCGUCUGUUCAUUCCUUAGGUGGUAAAAAUAGUCACCUUACACCAGCCUUGUUGAUGGAUGUACAUUAAAAAUUUAUAUCCCAUUUUGUUAACUACAGAAGGAUGCGUUUAGUUGGGAAAGGCGUUUUUACCGGAGAAAAAUGUAGAAAGUCUUCCGUAGCUUAUGGUCCGUUAUCUUUCUUAUUUUUCACCUUUCUCAGAUGAAGAAUACAGGGUAUAGUUAGGAGAUUACUUGUGUUGUAUGCCUUGUGUAGUAUUAGUUCUCUUGAUGGAAUAUAUAUAUAUAUAUAUAUGAUGCAUUAGGUCUUACUGUAUUA